AUGAUACUGUACCGUCACACAAGGAAGAUAAUCUCCAUCACAAGCAUUUCAUUUAAAAUUCGCAGCAAAGUCGAAUUUGCACGCACUAUGUCUGAGUGGCCAAGAGUAAUGGAAGGAGUAUGUGAAAGGAACAGGAAGCAGGCAGAGGGAACCCAUGCACUCUGUGAAACAGCUCCCUUCUGAUUCUCAACCACGUGCACAUGCCUAACUUCCUCUGGUUAAACCUUUUAGCUCUCUAGCUGGCUGUUCUAUAUGCAAAAAAUAAAGCCAAAUUGAUAAAUAUCUCUUAUCCUGCCAUUAACUCUUCUUACAUUUGAAACAUUUUAUUAUCUACAGUUUAGCAUCAUCAUAUAUAAAAAUACCAUUAAUAUGAUAUUGAAAAAGAUACAUAUUAUAUAAUUAUCCUUGUUUUUUAUGAGCUACUAUUCUGAGUAAAAAUUACAUUGUAAUUCUUAUUAUAAUACCUUAUAUGAACAAUAAUUCAUUCGAUGCUUUUUUAAACCUACCAUAAUUGAAAUGUACCUGUUGAUAUUCCUUAUUAUUACCUAUGAUUUAGGGUGAAACAUAAUCAGAGUUUAUGAUUUGCUUUCCAAAGAGGAAUCAGUUGGUCUUUGAUUCCUCUUACUGCUGGUGAUCAAGCUUGCUCUUAAACACUUGAAGAUACUGGCACAAAAUCCACCAAUCACUAAUCAUCCAUAUACAUGUCUCUCUGGAACACUCCAUUACCGAGGCAAUAAAAAAUGAUGGUGCUUUUGAGUACAGCAUCAGUAUUUAUAUACUGUAGAUAGUUUUACAGUUGAACAUGUUAUUAUGUUUAUGCUUAGCAGUUACAGCAAUGUUCCCUGUUUAGUGAUGACAUACUAUGAGAGAAUACUCUUAUGGUAAACUGACUAGAAAUAAUUCACGCACUAUCAUCAUCAUGAGAUGGACAGCCUGACACUAAAAAUCCUAUUAGCUACAACAUUAAAUUAUCCUUUGUACAUUUCUUACUUCAAGAUUAAGAUACUCUGAGGUCAACUAAUUCAAAGAUUGGACUGCCUCACAAUUAUGUUACUCUUUUUUUCCUAUUUAAAAUGUUGA
rnacentral:lncRNA from 1 species